GAUGAGCGCUAGCUACAGGCUUAACACAUGCAAGUCGAGGGGAAACGACAUCGAAAGCUUGCUUUUGAUGGGCGUCGACCGGCGCACGGGUGAGUAACGCGUAUCCAACCUGCCCACCACUUGGGGAUAACCUUGCGAAAGUAAGACUAAUACCCAAUGAUAUCCCACGAAGACAUCUGAAUGGGAUUAAAGAUUUAUCGGUGAUGGAUGGGGAUGCGUCUGAUUAGCUUGUUGGCGGGGUAACGGCCCACCAAGGCAACGAUCAGUAGGGGUUCUGAGAGGAAGGUCCCCCACAUUGGAACUGAGACACGGUCCAAACUCCUACGGGAGGCAGCAGUGAGGAAUAUUGGUCAAUGGGCGAGAGCCUGAACCAGCCAAGUAGCGUGCAGGAAGACGGCCCUAUGGGUUGUAAACUGCUUUUAUAAGGGAAUAAAGUGGGUCACGUGUGACUUUUUGCAUGUACCUUAUGAAUAAGGACCGGCUAAUUCCGUG
rnacentral:rRNA from 1 species